GAUGAACGCUGGCGGCGUGCCUAAUACAUGCAAGUCGAGCGAACGGACGAGAAGCUUGCUUCUCUGAUGUUAGCGGCGGACGGGUGAGUAACACGUGGAUAACCUACCUAUAAGACUGGGAUAACUUCGGGAAACCGGAGCUAAUACCGGAUAAUAUUUUGAACCGCAUGGUUCAAAAGUGAAAGACGGUCUUGCUGUCACUUAUAGAUGGAUCCGCGCUGCAUUAGCUAGUUGGUAAGGUAACGGCUUACCAAGGCAACGAUGCAUAGCCGACCUGAGAGGGUGAUCGGCCACACUGGAACUGAGACACGGUCCAGACUCCUACGGGAGGCAGCAGUAGGGAAUCUCCGCAAUGGGCGAAAGCCUGACGGAGCAACGCCGCGUGAGUGAUGAAGGUCUUCGGAUCGUAAAACUCUGUUAUUAGGGAAGAACAUAUGUGUAAGUAACUGUGCACAUCUUGACGGUACCUAAUCAGAAAGCCACGGCUAACUACGUGCCAGCAGCCGCGGUAAUACGUAGGUGGCAAGCGUUAUCCGGAAUUAUUGGGCGUAAAGCGCGCGUAGGCGGUUUUUUAAGUCUGAUGUGAAAGCCCACGGCUCAACCGUGGAGGGUCAUUGGAAACUGGAAAACUUGAGUGCAGAAGAGGAAAGUGGAAUUCCAUGUGUAGCGGUGAAAUGCGCAGAGAUAUGGAGGAACACCAGUGGCGAAGGCGACUUUCUGGUCUGUAACUGACGCUGAUGUGCGAAAGCGUGGGGAUCAAACAGGAUUAGAUACCCUGGUAGUCCACGCCGUAAACGAUGAGUGCUAAGUGUUGGGGGUUUCCGCCCCUUAGUGCUGCAGCUAACGCAUUAAGCACUCCGCCUGGGGAGUACGACCGCAAGGUUGAAACUCAAAGGAAUUGACGGGGACCCGCACAAGCGGUGGAGCAUGUGGUUUAAUUCGAAGCAACGCGAAGAACCUUACCAAAUCUUGACAUCCUUUGACAACUCUAGAGAUAGAGCCUUCCCCUUCGGGGGACAAAGUGACAGGUGGUGCAUGGUUGUCGUCAGCUCGUGUCGUGAGAUGUUGGGUUAAGUCCCGCAACGAGCGCAACCCUUAAGCUUAGUUGCCAUCAUUAAGUUGGGCACUCUAAGUUGACUGCCGGUGACAAACCGGAGGAAGGUGGGGAUGACGUCAAAUCAUCAUGCCCCUUAUGAUUUGGGCUACACACGUGCUACAAUGGACAAUACAAAGGGCAGCGAAACCGCGAGGUCAAGCAAAUCCCAUAAAGUUGUUCUCAGUUCGGAUUGUAGUCUGCAACUCGACUACAUGAAGCUGGAAUCGCUAGUAAUCGUAGAUCAGCAUGCUACGGUGAAUACGUUCCCGGGUCU
rnacentral:rRNA from 1 species